GCAGGCUGCAACUCGCCUGCAUGAAGUCGGAAUUGCUGUAAUCGCAGAUCAGCAUGCUGCGGUGAAUACGUUCCCGGGCCUUGUACACACCGCCCGUCACACCAUGGGAGUCGGUAACACCCGAAGUCGGUAGUCUAACCGAAAGGAGGACGCCGCCGAAGGUGGGAUUGAUGACUGGGGUGAAGUCGUAACAAGGUAUC
rnacentral:rRNA from 1 species